UCAGACGAUGCGUCAUGCAUAUCAAUAAGCGGAGGAAAAGAAACUAACUAGGAUUCCCUCAGUAACGGCGAGUGAAGCGGGAAGAGCUCAAAUUUGAAAUCUUCAAGGUUCUACCUUGACGAAUUGUAGUUUAAAGAAGUGUUUUCUGUUAGAGGAGUAGGUAAAAGUUCUUUGGAAUAGGACAUCAUAGAGGGUGAGAAUCCCAUAUUUGACAUAUUCUUCUAGCUUUGUGAUACACUUUCAAAGAGUCGGAUUGUUUGGGAAUGCAGUCCAAAAUGGGUGGUAAAUUUCAUCUAAAGCUAAAUACUGGCGAGAGACCGACUAGCGAACAAGUACCGUGAGGGAAAGAUGAAAAGAACUUUGAAAAGAGAGUUAAACAGUACGUGAAAUUGUCAAAAGGGAAGCGUUUGACACCAGUGUUGUUUUCUCGAAAAUCAAUUAAAAAGAGUUGGAUUUUGUGUUGUAUUGACCUUAACAGCUUGCUUCACUCUUUUCCUGCUUUUUUUAAUGCACUUUUCGUUUAACAAGUCAACAUCAGUUUCUUUUGUUGUAAAAGGGUCAUUGGAAGGUGGCUUUCUCUUCGGAGAAAGUGAUUUAUAGCCUUUGAUCUCUGCAAUCGGAGAGACUGAGGAUCUGCAGCGUAGAUCCUUCGGGGUUAGAUACAUUCGUGCUAAGUUAUAGCCUUUUAUAGACAACUUGUUGACUAUGAUCAGUCAUGUAGCUUACUCGCUAGUGCUAUUUUACCUACGCUUAGGAUGUUGAUAUGCAUGACUGAUAU
rnacentral:rRNA from 1 species